CGAUGAUGGAGGAGCUUGCUCCUCCGGAUUAGUGGCGAACGGGUGAGUAAUACGUGAGCAAUGUGCCCUUGACUCUGGGAUAAGCGCUGGAAACGGCGUCUAAUACCGGAUACGACGAUCGGAGGCAUCUCCUGGUCGUGGAAAGAACUUCGGUCAAGGAUCAGCUCACGGCCUAUCAGCUUGUUGGUGAGGUAACGGCUCACCAAGGCGACGACGGGUAGCCGGCCUGAGAGGGUGACCGGCCACACUGGGACUGAGACACGGCCCAGACUCCUACGGGAGGCAGCAGUGGGGAAUAUUGCACAAUGGGCGCAAGCCUGAUGCAGCAACGCCGCGUGAGGGACGAAGGCCUUCGGGUUGUAAACCUCUUUUAGCAGGGAAGAAGCGAAAGUGACGGUACCUGCAGAAAAAGCACCGGCUAACUACGUGCCAGCAGCCGCGGUAAUACGUAGGGUGCAAGCGUUGUCCGGAAUUAUUGGGCGUAAAGAGCUCGUAGGCGGUUUGUCGCGUCUGCUGUGAAAACCCGAGGCUCAACCUCGGGCUUGCAGUGGGUACGGGCAGACUAGAGUGCGGUAGGGGAGAUUGGAAUUCCUGGUGUAGCGGUGGAAUGCGCAGAUAUCAGGAGGAACACCGAUGGCGAAGGCAGAUCUCUGGGCCGUAACUGACGCUGAGGAGCGAAAGCAUGGGGAGCAAACAGGCUUAGAUACCCUGGUAGUCCAUGCCGUAAACGUUGGGAACUAGAUGUGGGGACCAUUCCACGGUCUCCGUGUCGUAGCUAACGCAUUAAGUUCCCCGCCUGGGGAGUACG
rnacentral:rRNA from 1 species